rnacentral:lncRNA from 1 species
CUUUUCCUUUCUCGCUCUUUCUUCCAGAACAGCCUUUAUACUUAGAAAGCAUAGCUGUAUUCUUAGAGAAUAGCUAAGCAUGUAGGACCACAACCAUCUUGAAGACCAUAAUAGUCGAGGGGCCAUCCCUCUUCCCACCACUCUAGAAGGGUACAGCAGUCACGGGAGAAGAUUAUAUUGAAGAUGAUCCUGCAGCAGCAGAUCAUACAUAUCGAUUUGUGAGGAAAAAAUUCAUCUUUUUCGUGCCCUGAUUGAAGAGGACCAACGAUUAACAGCAGAAACAAUAGCGAACACCAUAGACAUCUCAGUUGGUUCAACAUACACAAUUCUGACUGAAAAAUUAAAGCUCCCCACACAUCUAAAUAUUUUGUGAGGAGAUACUUUGAAAGGGUUUUCCUACCCUGUGCUGGUUCCUGUGGAUGUUUCUGCUCGGAGCUGGAGGAACUUCAGUAAGCUGAAGACUCUGUUCAGAGGAAAUUACCUAAUUGAAAAUGUCUGGGCUAAGAGACCGACAAUAAAGGAAACUGGCAAAAGUACUCUUUAAUUACAAGUUCUUUUUCAUCUUCAUCCAGCACACUGAUUUAUGUGCUACACUGGGUUUGUAUUAUAUCUAUAUUUUAAUUCCACAACUAGACACUAACUUUAUUGAGAACAGCGAUAUUCAUUUCUUCAAUUUCAUUUGUGUUAACCCAACUGUAGGUGAUAGUGCUCUGUACAUCAUAGUUACCCAGUGAAUUACGUACCUGACAUAUGAUUGCUUAUUUCUGGUAUUAAAACAAGAUUUCAUAAAAUAAACAUGACAAUUAAA